GAUGAACGCUGGCGGCGUGCCUAACACAUGCAAGUCGAACGAGCGAGAGCCGCCUUGUUUUCUCGAGUGACUGGCGAAUGGGUGAGUAACCCGCGCGGGACCAGUCUCAAAGAGGGGGUCAACAGUUGGGAACCACUGCUAAUACACCAUAUGUCGACGAACGCGGAUUGGGUAGAGGGCUAACGAGCAAUCCGCUUUGAGUGGGCCGUUCGUCCGAUUAGCUUGUUAGUGAUGUAAACGGCCACCAACGCGACGAUCGGUAGACGGACUGAGAGAGUGAGCAGACACAUUGAGACUAGGACACGGCCCGGACUCCUACGCGAGGCGGCAGAGGGUGAUAUAGCACAAUGGGGGAAACCAUGAUGCAGCGAGGCCGCGUGGAGGAAGAAGGACUGCAGGUAGUAAACUUCUGUUGUAGAGGAAGAUAAUGACGGUACUGUACGAGUAAGCGACGGCUAACUACGUG
rnacentral:rRNA from 1 species